UCUGCUUCUUCUCAUCGAUGGAAAUUCCCGAGCCGUUCUAGAGGAAAAAGGAGCGCAACUGAUGUCCAUCGUUGAAACGUGGGGAGCGGAAAUAGGCGUUGCCGUUUCAACCAGCAAGACGGUAAUAAUGCUGCUCAAAGGUGCCUUGAGACGUGCGCCUACGGUAAGAUUCGCUGGAGCGAACCUGCCGUAUGUGCGUAGCUGUCGGUACCUUGGCAUCACGGUCAGUGAAGGAAUGAAAUUCCUCACGCACAUAGCUCUGCUUUGCCAGCGGAUGACCGGAGUCGUCGACUGGGGCAUCAGUCAUCGAGCCAGGCGGACCAUAUAUGCGGGACUCAUUGCCAUUGUGUGCUGUUUGGUGCCUCGGUAUGGUAUGACACCGCCGCACAGGUAGCUGCCAGGAAGCGACUGUCCUCCUACCAUAGACUGAUCCUGCUUGGAUGUCUAUCGGUAUGUCGAACAGUCUGCCGAACGACUGGCUCUAUGGCGAGGACGUUGCCCGUCUAAGCCGGGAGCAAAAAGAGAUUCGCCUAGAGGAAUACUUGCUAUUGAGUUGGCAAAGCAGAUGGGAUGACGACAGCGAACCAGGACGGGGGACGCACAGGUUCAUCCCGGACGUCACCCUUGUCUAUCGGGAUCCAAAUGUUGGUUUCUCGAUGAUGGCGUCUUUCUUGCUCACUGGGCACGGGUCGUUCAACUGAGGGAGAGCCCUCAGCGAUACCACUGCUUGCGCAUGUGGUGAUCCAUACGAGGAUUGGGAGCACGUGUUGUGCGCCUGCACCCUAUAUGCAGAUUUGCGAGACCUCGAUGGACUUGGAGUGCAGCGCGUUGGCGAGGACUGGACAUUUAGAAGAAUCCUGGAGGAUCGGGAGAGAACCCAACGGCUGGCUGUUUUCGCUGAGUUGCCGUUCCGCAGAAGAAGGGGCACUUAGCCUGACGCUUCGCCGUGUGGUUAGCGGUCGAGAAUACUGCCACAGCUUGCAAUAGGUCACUCCGCCCGUGCUUGUCGGCUAGGUAGAUCUCGCUCCUCAGCAAGGGGGAGUGCUUGGCCGGCAAGCAAGCACUCGAAUUGCUACCGGGGUGGUUGCUAUGUACAUAGCUAUAGCUUCCAGACCGGCACGUUUUGUCUAGCGUAUCUGGACACAUGCAUUAUAUGCGCACUUGUGGGUGUAUAGGGUGCCGUGGUUGUAAUCCCUUCAAUGUGGAACACGCCACGUAAAACAAGUUCGGAGGGAUCCGAUUCAAACACUGUCCCUAUCUACUAUCUAGCGAAACCACAGCCAAGGGAACGGGCUUGGAAUAAUUAGCGGGGAAAGAAGACCCUUUUGAGCUUGACUCUAAUCUGGCAGUGUAAGGAGACAUAAGAGGUGUAGAAUAAGUGGGAGAUAUUAGACCUCGGUUUGGUAGCGUCAAUGAAAUACCACUACUCUUAUUGUUUCCUUACUUACUUGAUUAAAUGGAAUGUGUAUCAUUUCCUACCCAUUAUACGGAUAUAUUUACUAUAUCUUAUGGUAUUGGGUUUUGAUGCAAGCUUCUUGAUCAAAGUAUCACGAGUUUUCAUAUAAUCGCAAACAAAUUCUUUAAUAUAAUAAAACGAUGCAUUUAUGUAUUUUUGAUUUGAAAAUUUGGUAUAACUCUUUGGUAUGACCCAAUUCAAGGACAUUGCCAGGUAGGGAGUUUGACUGGGGCGCUACAUCUCUCUAAUAAUAACGGAGGUGUCCCAAGGCCAGCUCAGUGCGGACAGAAACCGCACAUAGAGCAAAAGAGCAAAUGCUGACUUGAUCUCGGUGUUCAGUACACACAGGGACAGCAAAAGCUCGGCCUAUCGAUCCUUUUGGUUUAAAGAGUUUUUAACAAGAGGUGUCAGAAAAGUUACCAUAGGGAUAACUGGCUUGUGGCGGCCAAUCGUUUAUAGUGAUCAUUGUGAAGCAAAAUUCACCAAGCGUUGGAUUGUUCACCCAUGCAAGGAAACGUGAACUGGGUUUAGACCGUCGUGAGACAGGUUAGUUUUACCAUACUAAUGACAAAACGUUGUUGCGACAGCAUUCCUGCGUAGUACGAGAGGAACCGCAGGUACGGAUCAAUGGUACAAUACUUGUUCGAGCGAACAGUGGUAUGACGCUACGUCCGUUGGAUUAUGCCUGAACGCCUCUAAGGUCGUAUCCGUGCUGGCCUGCAAUGAUAAAUAAGGGGCAAUUUGCAUUGUAUGGCGUCUAAACCAUUUAAAGUUUAUAAUUUACUUUAUAAACGGCAAUGGAUGUGAUGCCAAUGUAAUUUGUAACAUAGUAAAUUGGGAGGAUCUUCGAUCACCUGAUGCCGCGCUAGUUACAUAUAAAAGCAUUAUAU
rnacentral:rRNA from 1 species